UUUAUUAAUUUUUAAUAAUAAUACAACUUAAAUAACUUUAGCGGCAGCUAACCAUGCUUUGAAGCGCAAAAUAAUAUCACACUUAACGCGAUUACAUAAGGACCACACUGGGCUCUCAUCGUCCACAAUAGAAUGGAAAUACUUUGCUCAGCUCCUUUUGCAAUGCAAAUUUGUUCACGAAGUGAAUGAAUUAUUUUUGGUCGCAGCGCGAUACGAGACACCAUUUGAUCGUAAACAUCGACGGAUUUCUACUGUCCUGGCAGCCAUUUUUAUCAAUUGGGCAGACGACACCCAGGGUUCAAAAGCGGUAAUCACGAGAUUGGUAAAUUUAUUUAAAAACAAUUUAGAAGAUUGGAGGGAAUUAUUUGCCAUGAUUGUACUGAAGACAAUAGCUAACUUGCUGAAGAGAGUCGACACCAUACCUCCUGAACGCCAUCGUAUAAAGGCGUUGAACUUGCUAAAACAAUUCCUUUUUUCAGAUGAAAAUUUUCGAUC